rnacentral:rRNA from 1 species
CGAAGGGGGCAAGCGUUGUUCGGAUUUACUGGGCGUAAAGGGCGCGCAGGCGGUUCUUCAAGUCGGGUGUGAAAGCCCCGGGCUCAACCUGGGAACUGCACUCGAGACUGAAGAACUAGAGUUCGGGAGAGGAUGGCGGAAUUCCCAGUGUAGAGGUGAAAUUCGUAGAUAUUGGGAAGAACACCGGUGGCGAAGGCGGCCAUCUGGACCGAGACUGACGCUGAGGCGCGAAAGCGUGGGGAGCAAACAGGAUUAGAUACCCUGGUAGUCCACGCCGUAAACGAUGUGCGCUAGACGUCGGGGAGCCUAGCUCUUCGGUGUCGCAGCUAACGCUUUAAGCGCACCGCCUGGGGAGUACGGCCGCAAGGUUA